GAAAUGCGAUAAGUAAUGUGAAUUGCAGAGUUUUGUGAAUCAUCGAAUCUUUGAACGCACCUUGCGCUCCUUGGUAUUCCUUGGAGCAUGCCUGUUUGAGUAUCAUGAAAUCUUCAAAGUAAAUCUUUUGUUAACUCAAUUGGUUUCUACUUUGGUAUUGGAGGUCUUUGCAGCUUCACACCUGCUCCUCUUUGUUCAUUAGCUGGAUCUCAGUGUUAUGCUUGGUUCCACUCGGCGUGAUAAGUUAUCUAUCGCUGAGGACACUGUAAAAGGUGGCCAAGGUAAAUGCAGAUGAACCGCUUCUAAUAGUCCAUUGACUUGGACAAUACUUUUAUGAUCUGAUCUCAAAUCAGGUAGGACUACCCGCUGAACUUAAGC
rnacentral:misc_RNA from 1 species